rnacentral:rRNA from 1 species
GGCGAAAGGGAGAGUAACGCGUAGUUACGUGCCCCGAGGACCGGAAUAGCCACGGGAAACUGUGGGUAAUGCCGGAUGAUCUCUACGGGGCAAAGGUGUGAUUCCGCCUUGGGAGCGGACUGCGUUGUACUAGCUAGUUGGUAGGGUAAUGGCCUACCAAGGCAAUGAUGCAUAGCGGGCGUGAGAGCGUGGCCCGUCUCACUGGGACUGAGACACUGCCCAGACACCUACGGGUGGCUGCAGUCGAGAAUCUUCGGCAAUGAGCGCAGGCUUGACCGAGCGACGCCGCGUGCGGGAUGAAGGCCUUCGGGUUGUAAACCGCUGUCGUAGGGGAGGAAGGCUCCGUGAAGAGCGGGGUUUGACCUAUCCUAGGAGGAAGGACGGGCUAAGUUCGUGCCAGCAGCCGCGGUAAUACGAACCGUCCAAACGUUAUUCGGAAUCACUGGGCUUAAAGGGUUUGUAGGCGGCGCUGUUAGUCGGGUGUGAAAGCCCUCGGCUCAACCGAGGAAUUGCGCCCGAUACUGCAGUGCUUGAGGGAGACAGAGGUAAGCGGAACUGAUGGUGGAGCGGUGAAAUGCGUUGAUAUCAUCAGGAACACCGGUGGCGAAAGCGGCUUACUGGGUCUCUUCUGACGCUGAGAAACGAAAGCUAGGGUAGCGAAGGGGAUUAGAUACCCCCGUAGUCC